GUUUGUCUUUUUCAUUUUUGCCAAUGGCGUUGUCAGUCUAUUUUCGAUUUAUGAGUUUGACUGUAGAUGUCCCUCUGGUAUAUUUCGUCCCUCUUCCAGUAGAACCUUAUAUUGGUUGUAUAACCAUUGUUUCUCUUAACUUGGUGUACCACAGUUUGUUUACACAAAGGAAGAGUGUCCCAUUAUGCACAGAGGUUUCAGACUUUGACAAGUAUCCUCUAACAGUAAUAGGUCUCACUCAUGAACUCAAUGAUUGAUUGUUGAUCAUUUGUCAUAUUUC
rnacentral:lncRNA from 1 species